GACAGAGGAUGCAAGCGUUAUCCGGAAUGAUUGGGCGUAAAGCGUCUGUAGGUGGCUUUUUAAGUCCGCCGUCAAAUCCCAGGGCUCAACCCCGGACUUGCAGUGGGUACGGGCAGACUAGAGUGUGGUAGGGGAGACUGGAAUUCCUGGUGUAGCGGUGAAAUGCGCAGAUAUCAGGAGGAACACCGAUGGCGAAGGCAGGUCUCUGGGCCAACUACUGAC
rnacentral:rRNA from 1 species